rnacentral:rRNA from 1 species
AGAACGAACGCUGGCGGCAGGCUUAACACAUGCAAGUCGAACGGGCGUAGCAAUACGUCAGUGGCAGACGGGUGAGUAACACGUGGGAACCUUCCUAGGGGUACGGAACAACUCAGGGAAACUUGAGCUAAUACCGUAUACGUCCGUGAGGAGAAAGAUUCAUCGCCCCUAGACGGGCCCGCGUCGGAUUAGGUAGUUGGUGGGUAACGGCCUACCAAGCCUACGAUCCGUAGCUGAUCUGGAGAGGAUGAUACAGCCACACGUGGGACUGACGACACGGCCCAGACUCCGUACGGGAGCAGCGAGGUGGGGAAUCGUUACGGACGUAAGUGGGCGACCAAGCCCUG